GUCCCUUCGGGGACAUCCGAUAAAAUUGGAACGACACAGAGAAGAUUAGCAUGAUGGUCCCUGUGCAAGGAUGACACACACAAAUCGAGAAAUGCUCCUGAUUUUU
rfam:Nicotiana attenuata strain TT chromosome 12, whole genome shotgun sequence.